rnacentral:rRNA from 1 species
GGAGUUAGCCGGUGCUUCUUCUGCGAGUAACGUCACAGAUGUAAGGUAUUAACUUACACCCUUUCCUCCUCGCUGAAAGUGCUUUACAACCCGAAGGCCUUCUUCACACACGCGGCAUGGCUGCAUCAGGGUUUCCCCCAUUGUGCAAUAUUCCCCACUGCUGCCUCCCGUAGGAGUCUGGGCCGUGUCUCAGUCCCAGUGUGGCUGAUCAUCCUCUCAGACCAGCUAGGGAUCGUCGCCUAGGUGAGCCUUUACCUCACCUACUAGCUAAUCCCACCUGGGCUUAUCCAUCAGCGCAAGGCCCGAAGGUCCCCUGCUUUCCCCCGUAGGGCCGUAUGCGGUAUUAGCAGUCGUUUCCAACUGUUAUCCCCACAAAUGGGCAAAUUCCCAGGCAUUACUCACCCGUCCGCCGCUCGUCAUCUUCAAAAGCAAGCUUUUGAAAUGUUACCGCUCGACUUGCAUGUGUUAGGCCUGCCGCCAGCGUUCAAUCUGAACCAAGAUCAAAUUCUGA